AAGUCGUAACAAGGUUUCCGUAGGUGAACCUGCGGAAGGAUCAUCGUUGUUUUGUGUGUGUGGGUUUUGUGGGUACAGAUUUUUUUUUCCUUAUAAAUCCCAACCAAGAGGAGAGGAGUUGACUGAGGCUUUUUGUGUGAGGAGUUGCGUGGAGAAAAAGGACAAAACUUUCAACAACGGAUCUCUUGGCUCUCA
rnacentral:misc_RNA from 1 species